UGAAACGGGAGCAACCGGUACGGCCAGAACAACUGGUUGACAGGAGGCAAACACCUUGGGGAAGCCCUAUCGACCGGAAUCCCCAGAGGGUCGUGGCUGAGACGACGAAGAGGGUUCCCUAGUGCUAUCCAUGACACCUACCUGUAAUUAUACAGUGUAAAAGUAACAGUACAUGAUUACUGUAUCCAUUUAGAGUCUUUUUUCCCACUCCAGUCCCCUGUCGACCCCAGUGAUGAAGUGACAUACAUCUCAGUAAGAGCAAAGGCCAGAAAUAUAGCUCCUUCAUCUACUCAGGUCAUGCCAUUAGAAAACAUGACCUCAGCAGACCCAAAUGUGAUCUACAGCAACACGAAAACACAGAGGAAAAAGGCUGCAGCAGAUCCACAAGAGGUCACCUACAGCGCUGUGGCUCGCAAAUAGAAAGUGACUAGACCCUCCCCCCAGUCCCCAGCUGAAGGGACCUGAAAUGACGCUGAUGCUCACUGAUGUACUGAUGUUUAAUGUUGUGAGUGAGACAGGAAUCCAUGACUUUUGAAGCGUUUAGUCAUUGAUUGCAGUUUGUAUGAAAGCAAAGCGAAAUGCUUAACAGUUUAGCCCACAUAAGUGUAGCCUGUAUGAUGGGUAGGGCAGUGCCAUUUAAGUGGACCCUGCCCCUUUGUGUCAAUUAGUCCAGGUGGCAGAGGCGCUUUCCCUUUACAGUUUUUUCCAAUCAGUUUCACACUUGUCUCAAUACCAUGUCCACUUUUUCAAAUCACUUAACACAUGUAUCAUACCAUUGGACUAUGUGAGCUAAACUAUGUAUACUUUUGCAUUGCUUUGACACAAUA